rnacentral:rRNA from 1 species
AGUAGGGAAUUGUUCGCAAUGGGCGCAAGCCUGACGACGCAACGCCGCGUGGAGGAUGAAGACCUUCGGGUCGUAAACUCCUUUCGACCGAGAUGAACAGCCAUCGACCUAAUACGUUGAUGGCCUGACAGUACCGAGGGAAGAAGCCCCGGCUAACUCCGUGCCAGCAGCCGCGGUAAUACGGGGGGGGCAAGCGUUGUUCGGAAUUACUGGGCGUAAAGGGUUCGUAGGUGGCCAACUAAGUCAUACGUGAAAUCCCUCAGCUUAACUGGGGAACUGCGUCUGAUACUGGUUGGCUUGAGUGCAGGAGAGGAACGCGGAAUUCCAGGUGUAGCGGUGAAAUGCGUAGAUAUCUGGAGGAACACCGGUGGCGAAGGCGGCGUUCUGGACUGCAACUGACACUGAGGAACGAAAGCCAGGGGAGCAAA